CACGUAGGGGGCAAGCGUUGUCCGGAUUUAUUGGGCGUAAAGAGCUCGUAGGCGGUUUGUCGCGUCUGCCGUGAAAGUCCGGGGCUCAACUCCGGAUCUGCGGUGGGUACGGGCAGACUAGAGUGAUGUAGGGGAGACUGGAAUUCCUGGUGUAGCGGUGAAAUGCGCAGAUAUCAGGAGGAACACCGAUGGCGAAGGCAGGUCUCUGGGCAUUAACUGACGCUGAGGAGCGAAAGCAUGGGGAGCGAACAGG
rnacentral:rRNA from 1 species